rnacentral:rRNA from 1 species
UACGAAGGGGGCUAGCGUUGUUCGGAAUUACUGGGCGUAAAGCGCACGUAGGCGGAUAUUUAAGUCAGGGGUGAAAUCCCAGAGCUCAACUCUGGAACUGCCUUUGAUACUGGGUAUCUCGAGUAUGGAAGAGGUGAGUGGAAUUCCGAGUGUAGAGGUGAAAUUCGUAGAUAUUCGGAGGAACACCAGUGGCGAAGGCGACUUACUGGACGAUUGUUGACGCUGAGGUGCGAAAGCGUGGGGAGCAAACAGG